rnacentral:tRNA from 1 species
GCGGGUGUGGCGGAAUUGGUAGACGCACCAGAUUUAGGUUCUGGCGCNNUUCGAGUCCCUUCACCCGCACCA